GUGGGGAACCGCCUGAACUGAAACAUCUAAGUAGGGCGAGGAAGAGAAAUCAACCGAGAUUCUGUGAGUAGUGGCGAGCGAAAGCGGAAGAGGCUAAACCAUAGGUAGCAAUACUUAUGGGGUUUCGGACAGCAUUUAGUAUUGAUAAUUUCUAGUUGAAACGUGUGGGAAAACGUACCGAAGAGUGUGAGAGUCACGUAAGCGAAAGAGAAAGUCAGCGAGCUGUAUCCAAAGUACCGCGGGACACGUGAAACCCCGUGGGAAGAUGGGGGGACCAUCCUCCAAGCCUAAAUACUACCUAAUGACCGAUAGCGAAUAGUACUGUGAAGGAACGGUGAAAAGAACCCCGGGAGGGGAGUGAAAAAGAACCUGAAACCCUAUGCUUACAAGCACCGAGAGCACGUCAAAGUGUGAUCGGGUACCUUUUGUAGAAUGGUCCGGCGAGUUAUUGUAUGCGGCAAGGUUAAGUGCUUAAGGCACGGAGCCGAAGCGAGAGCAAGUCUGAAUAGGGCGAGUAAGUCGUAUGCAAUAGACCCGAAACCGAGUGACCUAUCCAUGUCCAGGCUGAAGUGGAGGUAAAACUCUAUGGAGGGCCGAACACACGUCCGUUGAAAAGGCCGGUGAUGAGGUGUGGAUAGCGGAGAAAUUCCAAUCGAACUCGGAUAUAGCUGGUUCUCUCCGAAAUAGCUUUAGGGCUAGCCUCGUGAAAGAUUACUGGAGGUAAAGCACUGAAUGGGCUAGGGGUCGAAAGAUUACUGAACCCUAUCAAACUAAGAAUGCCAGAUAAUUGAUUCACGGGAGUCAGACAAUGUGAGAUAAGUCUCAUUGUCAAAAGGGAAACAGCCCAGACCCACAGCUAAGGUCCCUAAACAUUGUUAAGUGGAAAAGGAUGUGGGGUUGCAUAAACAACCAGGAUGUUGGCUUAGAAGCAGCCACUCAUUAAAAGAGUGCGUAAUAGCUCACUGGUCGAGUGACCCUGCGCCGAAAAUUCAACGGGGCUAAACAAUGUACCGAAGCUUGGGAUUCUAGAUUUAUCUAGAGUGGUAGGAGAGCGUCGAAUAAGGGGUGAAGUCAGAGCGGAAGCGCUGGUGGACUUUAUUCGAGUGAGAAUGCCGGAAUGAGUAGCGAGAAUUAUGUGAGAAUCAUAAUGGCCGAAAAUCUAAGGUUUCCUGAGGAAGGUUCGUCCGCUCAGGGUAAGCCGGGAGCUAAGGUGAGGCGGAGACGCGUAGCCGAUGCACAUACGGUUGAAAUUCCGUAGCCACCGAAAGAUUUAAAUACAGGGACGCUUUAGAAGUGAUGUUGCCGGGCGAUGGUUGACCUGGUCGUAAGGGAUCGAAAAUGAGUAGAGAAGUCAUCAUGGAAAGAGACAAGAAAAGCUGUAUGAAUAUCUUAGGUGCCCGUACCGCAAACCGACACAGGUAGAUAGGAAGAAGAUUCUAAGGCCAACGGGAGAAGGGUUGUUAAGGAACUCGGCAAGUUGACCCCGUAACUUCGGAAUAAGGGGUGCUCACGAGAGUGAGCCGCAGAGAAUAGGCCCAGGCAACUGUUUACCAAAAACACAGGUUUGUGCUAAAUCGAAAGAUGACGUAUACGAGCUGACGCCUGCCCGGUGCUGGAAGGUUAAAAGGAGAUGUGCAAGCAUUGAAUUGAAGCCCCAGUGAACGGCGGCCGUAACUAUAACGGUCCUAAGGUAGCGAAAUUCCUUGUCAGGUAAG
rnacentral:rRNA from 1 species